GAUGAACGCUGGCGGCGUGCCUAAUACAUGCAAGUCGAGCGAACAGACAAGGAGCUUGCUCCUUUGACGUUAGCGGCGGACGGGUGAGUAACACGUGGGUAACCUACCUAUAAGACUGGGAUAACUUCGGGAAACCGGAGCUAAUACCGGAUAAUAUUUCGAACCGCAUGGUUCGAUAGUGAAAGAUGGUUUUGCUAUCACUUAUAGAUGGACCCGCGCCGUAUUAGCUAGUUGGUAAGGUAACGGCUUACCAAGGCGACGAUACGUAGCCGACCUGAGAGGGUGAUCGGCCACACUGGAACUGAGACACGGUCCAGACUCCUACGGGAGGCAGCAGUAGGGAAUCUUCCGCAAUGGGCGAAAGCCUGACGGAGCAACGUCGCGUGAGUGAUGAAGGUCUUCGGAUCGUAAAACUCUGUUAUUAGGGAAGAACAUACAUGUAAGUAACUAUGCACGUCUUGACGGUACCUAAUCAGAAAGCCACGGCUAACUACGUGCCAGCAGCCGCGGUAAUACGUAGGUGGCAAGCGUUAUCCGGAAUUAUUGGGCGUAAAGCGCACGUAGGCGGUUUUUUAAGUCUGAUGUGAAAGCCCACGGCUCAACCGUGGAGGGUCAUUGGAAACUGGAAAACUUGAGUGCAGAAGAGGAAAGUGGAAUUCCAUGUGUAGCGGUGAAAUGCGCAGAGAUAUGGAGGAACACCAGUGGCGAAGGCGACUUUCUGGUCUGUAACUGACGCUGAUGUGCGAAAGCGUGGGGAUCAAACAGGAUUAGAUACCCUGGUAGUCCACGCCGUAAACGAUGAGUGCUAAGUGUUAGGGGGUUUCCGCCCCUUAGUGCUGCAGCUAACGCAUUAAGCACUCCGCCUGGGGAGUACGACCGCAAGGUUGAAACUCAAAGGAAUUGACGGGGACCCGCACAAGCGGUGGAGCAUGUGGUUUAAUUCGAAGCAACGCGAAGAACCUUACCAAAUCUUGACAUCCUUUGACAACUCUAGAGAUAGAGCCUUCCCCUUCGGGGGACAAAGUGACAGGUGGUGCAUGGUUGUCGUCAGCUCGUGUCGUGAGAUGUUGGGUUAAGUCCCGCAACGAGCGCAACCCUUAAGCUUAGUUGCCAUCAUUAAGUUGGGCACUCUAAGUUGACUGCCGGUGACAAACCGGAGGAAGGUGGGGAUGACGUCAAAUCAUCAUGCCCCUUAUGAUUUGGGCUACACACGUGCUACAAUGGACAAUACAAAGGGCAGCGAAACCGCGAGGUCAAGCAAAUCCCAUAAAGUUGUUCUCAGUUCGGAUUGUAGUCUGCAACUCGACUACAUGAAGCUGGAAUCGCUAGUAAUCGUAGAUCAGCAUGCUACGGUGAAUACGUUCCCGGGUCU
rnacentral:rRNA from 1 species